UCCUGGUUAGCUCCAUUGGUAGAGCGCGCCACUGGAAAUGGAGAGGUUCCUGGUUUGAUACCAGGAGCAGGCG
rfam:Ixodes scapularis strain Wikel colony gcontig_1108378901588, whole genome shotgun sequence.